rnacentral:rRNA from 1 species
ACUAACCCUAGCUCUACUAACUUAAAUUAUAACAAAAAAAAUUUUUUUAAAACAAACCAUUUAUAACCAUAUAAGUAUCGGAGAGAGAAACUAUAUAUAUGAAGCUAUAGAGAAAGUACCGUAAGGGAAAGAUGAAAGACAUACUUUAAAAGUAUAAUAAAGCAGAGAUUAAAACUCAUACCUUUUGCAUAAUGAAUUAGCCAGAACAACCCUAGCCAAGAGACCUUAGCUAGAAACCCCGAAACCAAACGAGCUACUCAAGAGCAAUCAACAGAACUAACCCGUCUAUGUAGCAAAAUAGUGGGAAGACUUUUGAGUAGGGGUGAAAAGCCUACCGAGCUUGGUGAUAGCUGGUUACCCACCAAAUGAGUCUCAGCUCAAUUUAAAGUUUACCAUAAAGAACUCUAACCUAAAUGUAAACUUUAAAUAUAGUCUAAAGAGGGACAGCUCUUUAGAUAAUGGAAACAACCAUAAGCAGUAAAUAACUACAACACUCAUAGAUCAUUGUUGGCCUAAAAGCAGCCACCAAUAAAGAAAGCGUUCAAGCUCAAAAUAGAAUUAAAUCUUAAUACCAAAAUUAUACAGAACAAUUUCUGCUUAACAAGUGGGUUAAUCUAUUAAAUUAUAGAAGAGAUAAUGCUAAUAUGAGUAACAAGAAUUAUUUUCUCCUAGCACAAGUUUAUAACAACCCGGAUAACCAUUGUUAGUUAACAAAAACUAAUAACAGUCAACCAUAAACCAAUUAGACACAAUAUGUUAACCCAACACAGGAGUGCUUUAAGGAAAGAUUAAAAGAAAUAAAAGGAACUCGGCAAACAAAAGCCCCGCCUGUUUACCAAAAACAUCACCUCUAGCAUUACAAGUAUUAGAGGCACUGCCUGCCCAGUGACUAGAGUUAAACGGCCGCGGUAUCCUGACCGUGCAAAGGUAGCAUAAUCACUUGUUCCUUAAUUAGGGACUAGAAUGAAUGGCCAAACGAGGGCUUAACUGUCUCUUAUUUCCAAUCAGUGAAAUUGACCUCCCCGUGAAGAGGCGGGGAUAUUAAUAUAAGACGAGAAGACCCUAUGGAGCUUUAAUCUAUUAACUUAUUUACAUACUAAUAACAAUCUCAUGAAUCUAAAACAUAGUAGAGUAAGUUAAAGAUUUAGGUUGGGGUGACCUCGGAGAAUAAAAAAACCUCCGAAAGAUUUUAACCUAAACCAACAAGUUGAAGUAAUGCAUUAUUAUUCAAUUGAUCCAAUUAUUUGACCAACGGACCAAGUUACCCUAGGGAUAACAGCGCAAUCCUAUUCAAGAGUCCAUAUCGACAAUUAGGGUUUACGACCUCGAUGUUGGAUCAGGACAUCCUAAUGGUGCAGAAGCUAUUAAAGGUUCGUUUGUUCAACGAUUAAAGUCCUACGUGAUCUGAGUUCAGACCGGAGCAAUCCAGGUCGGUUUCUAUCUAUAUACAAUUUCUCCCAGUACGAAAGGAUCAGAGAAAUAAAGCCUCUCUCACUAAGACGCUUUAAAUAUUAAUAUAUGAAUUUAUCUUAAUAUAAAAUUAUGUACAACUUAACCCAAGAUAAGGGUAA